GAUGAAGAACGUAGCGAAAUGCGAUACUUGGUGUGAAUUGCAGAAUCCCGUGAACCAUCGAGUCUUUGAACGCAAGUUGCGCCUCAAGCCAUUAGGUUGAGGGCACGUCUGCCUGGGCGUCACAUAUCGUUGCCUGAUGCCAGUUUCCUCGUGAUGGGUGACUGUGCAGGGCGAAUGAUGGCUUCCCGUGAGCAUUGUUGCCUCAUGGUUGGUUGAAAAUUGAGUCCUUGGUAGGGAGCGCCGUGAUAGAUGGUGGUUGAGUGACGAACGAGACCCAAUCAUGUGAGACCCCUACCGAAUUUGGCCUUCAUGACCCACAUGCGUCUUUGGAACGCUCAUGACGAGACCUCAGGUCAGGCGGGGCUAUCCGCUGAGUUUAAGCAUAUCAAUAAGCGGAGGA
rnacentral:misc_RNA from 1 species